UAGAGUUGUAAAACUCCCAAACCCAUGUGAACAUACCUCUGUUGCCUCGGUGGACUAUUCGGAAGUUACCCUGUAGUCCACCGACGGACCACAAAACUCUUGUUUUUUUAAUAUCUCUGAGUCAACUAUAAAUAAGUUA
rnacentral:misc_RNA from 1 species